AGAUGCCAUCCAGGCGCACGGCGGGUAUAGUGGUUCCGCAACCUUGGGAUGUUCGGCUGAGCGCCUGCCUAACAUGGGAGCGCCUGCCUAACCCUCCUGACUGGAGGGUCAGCGGCGGGGAGUCCUGGCCUUCAAUCGGCCAUCGCCACGGCAGAAACUGGGGCCCGGGCUGCGUCCAGGCCCUUCCCCGUCCGUCCACAGGUCUCAUGGGCGCCCGGACUGGGGCUGAUGUAGUUUCCCGACCUCUGACACAUAGGAUCUGGAGAUUAAAGCUGCUCUGCUAAUAAUUAGGUUCCCACCUCUCAAGAUCAUUAGGAGCUUCUUUUCCAAUUCCUCUGUUUUGCAUGCAUUGGAAGGUUUACAUCGGUUGCCCCAGGGGAAGUGCCUGG
rnacentral:lncRNA from 1 species